ensembl:lncRNA
CCUCUACCCUCCCAGUCUCAGACCAUGGUGCUGAUAACACCAUUACACAGCAAACAUGACCUGACACGUCAACAUGAAGAGUAUGCAGAAGUGGAGGCCCACAGUGAAGGCCUGCUGGCAGACAGUGAUAUAGUGUUUGCCAAGGAGACGGUGCCAUCCCAGAGGCUAGAGCCAGGUGGAGGUCACAGCCAGCACCAGGGCCAAUCGAUCACUACCAGCCACAGCCAGGGGCACCACGCCCGGGGGCACCAGGGGCACCAAGCCCGGGGACACCAAGCCCAAGAGCAGGGCCAGGUCUCCACCAUCACCAACAUCUCCCUGGAGGAGCAGAAAGUGCUGCUGUCCCUGAAUCGACUCAAUCGUCGGCUGCAAUAUGUGCAGGCCUCAGCUGGAGGCAGCCCUGCAGAUAAAGCUUUCCUAUGUGGUGAAGCGCCCUUUACAGAGGAAGGGACGGGUGCUGCCCACC